rnacentral:rRNA from 1 species
GAUGAACGCUGGCGGCGUGCCUAAUACAUGCAAGUCGAACGCAUUGUGGUUGAAAUGAUAUGAAGAACUUGUUCAGAUUUGAUUUUCAACAUUGCAAUGAGUGGCGAACGGGUGAGUAACACGUGGGAAACCUACCUCUUAGCAGGGGAUAACAUUUGGAAACAAAUGCUAAUACCGUAUAAUAAUUAAAACCGCAUGGUUUUAGUUUAAAAGAUGGUCUUGCUAUCACUAAGAGAUGGUCCCGCGGUGUAUUAGUUAGUUGGUGAGGUAAUGGCUCACCAAGACAAUGAUACAUAGCCGAGUUGAGAGACUGACCGGCCACAAUGGGACUGAGACACGGCCCAUACUCCUACGGGAGGCAGCAGUAGGGAAUCUUCCACAAUGGACGAAAGUCUGAUGGAGCAACGCCGCGUGUGUGAUGAAGGGUUUCGGCUCGUAAAACACUGUUGUAAGAGAAGAAUGACAUUGAGAGUAACUGUUCAAUGUGUGACGGUAU